rnacentral:rRNA from 1 species
UACGGGGGGAGCAAGCGUUACUCGGAAUUACUGGGCGUAAAGCGCGCGUAGGCGGCUUUGUAAGUUAGAGGUGAAAGCCCGGAGCUCAACUCCGGAACUGCCUUUAAGACUGCAUCGCUAGAAUUGUGGAGAGGUAAGUGGAAUUCCGAGUGUAGAGGUGAAAUUCGUAGAUAUUCGGAAGAACACCAGUGGCGAAGGCGACUUACUGGACACAUAUUGACGCUGAGGUGCGAAAGCGUGGGGAGCAAACAGG